CAAGUCGUAACAAGGUUUCCGUAGGUGAACCUGCGGAAGGAUCAUUA
rnacentral:rRNA from 1 species